GAUGAACGCUGGCGGCGUGCCUAAUACAUGCAAGUCGAGCGAACAGAUGAGGAGCUUGCUCCUCUGACGUUAGCGGCGGACGGGUGAGUAACACGUGGAUAACCUACCUAUAAGACUGGGAUAACUUCGGGAAACCGGAGCUAAUACCGGAUAAUAUAUUGAACCGCAUGGUUCAAUAGUGAAAGACGGUUUUGCUGUCACUUAUAGAUGGAUCCGCGCCGCAUUAGCUAGUUGGUAAGGUAACGGCUUACCAAGGCAACGAUGCGUAGCCGACAUGAGAGGGUGAUCGGCCACACUGGAACUGAGACACGGUCCAGACUCCUACGGGAGGCAGCAGUAGGGAAUCUUCCGCAAUGGGCGAAAGCCUGACGGAGCAACGCCGCGUGAGUGAUGAAGGUCUUCGGAUCGUAAAACUCUGUUAUUAGGGAAGAACAAAUGUGUAAGUAACUAUGCACGUCUUGACGGUACCUAAUCAGAAAGCCACGGCUAACUACGUG
rnacentral:rRNA from 1 species